rnacentral:ncRNA from 1 species
UUUAAAGGCAAAACUAUGGAAACAUAGUGACGCAAAACUAAAGGGCCUGAAAUGGUAGCCAGUUGCA